ensembl:lncRNA
CGCAGGGGGAAUAGCGCAGUUGAAUAUUUAAAUUCUAGUUUAGGUUUUAAAUGAAUUUAGAAUCGAGUUAGUCUCCAGCAACGCUUUGACAUUUUAAAGGUACAAAGCAAAGUACUUUUUCUAAUCUGUAACCCAUUACGUCUUUUCCUUUUUCCUUUUUCUUUCUUUUUUUUUUUUGUCAAUUAUCGACGUGCGGUUGCUUCAUAAACUCGCGUCUGUACUGCCUUCUAUUGGAAACUGUGAUGCAAGGUUUUUUUAUCUAUUUAUUUAUUUUUUAUUUAUUUAUAGUACUCUUUCAUUCUCCUUUUUUUUUUUUUAUUUCAUUCGGAACGUUUCAACACUUAAGCAUACGUCCCAUUUGCAUUUCUUUAGCACUGUACUGUCGCUUUAGAAGAAGAAGAAGAAGAAGAAGAAGAAUGACCGUAAGCUUAAGCGAACGCUGGAACUGUACAAACAAACACGCUUCAAGGAUAGCGUGCAGUAGGAUUCUGUAACUGAAUUCGAAAGCCUCAGGUGAAGAGGAAAACAGCAGCCCUGCUCGAACAGCAAGGACACUAUGACUAGGUUCGAACAGACGCUGGGAAUUUUAAUAAGCCGAGAAGUGCAAGCUCAGAUGUGAAUUCGCUUCCUCAGCAAAGUCCUAUUAAAUAAACCGUGUUUCUUGAGGCCCUCUUCGGUCUGAUCCAUGUAGCGUUAGGCCAUUUAAUACAACCGGGGUUUUAUAAAUACAUACUAUUAUGUCUAUCAAGGGCUUGUAAAUAAAUUUGGGAGUCGAGUCGGGUUAGAUAAUGCCGUGCAGACGUUAUUUAGCUAUUUAGCACCGAGUAUGGCACGAAAGGCGUUCUGAUAGAAUAUGUAUGAUUUCUUUGCUUUGCUUAUUUAUUUAUUUAUUUCCUACAACGUCCAUGUAAUUCCAUGUAAUAGUUUUCAAACUGCUCGUUUUGUUUAUUUUUUCAUUUAAAAAAUUUUUUUUUUUUAUUGACCACGAAAGCUCGCUCCCGAGGAAGUAAGAGGUGAAAACAUGUCAGAUAAGGACCAUCUGUGAAACAAAAGAACAGAUCCAACGUGUAAAUAAACGCCUGUAUUGAAGGCUUUCUGUCGAGCUUGUCUUGCUAUGGUAAUAGCAUUCCUGUGUACUUGUCCUAUCAGAUAAGCUCAAGCUGUUUUAGCGAUAUUCUAUGUUUGGCUCAGAGACUGGCACGCUAAUGAUGCCAGGUUUCAAUCCAGAGUUUCCAUUCAUCACACGUUAAUAUUUCGGAGAAAAGGUCCAGCCGGAUGCAUCCCCUGCACGUACGAGUCCUGAUGAUGAUUAUUGACAGAAGUACACACACACACACACACACACACACACCCGAGGAUCCCACACCCAUGAUGGUAAACGCAGUAAAAGACACAGGCAGAGGUUGCACGUGACCGACCCUGAAUAGAGUGAAAACGAUGGCUGGUGCUGACUUGCACAGUGUACAGCGGAUCAUAUACAGGGACUAUUGUGUGCGGCCAACAUCGCCAGACAAACAGCUCGGGAAGCCUUUACUCUUUCCUAGUGUUUGUGCACACAUCAGCGUGCCACACAAAGUUGUCCCGUUCCGCCCCUUUCUGACGGCGUGUUCUCUGUAUUCUGAUGUGAAACCUAUACUACAGUAUGUCUUAAUCCAGCAGCCAUCUGGAAUAGCAUUUGAAAUCAGACAUCAAAAGCCUUGUGUUUCGCCUUGAGAACGCAUUUCCUCAAGCGAUCGAACGAGAGAGUAGCGAGCUAAUAUUUAAGGAGAGAGAGAGAGAGAUAUGGAGAAAGAGAGAGAGAGAGAGAGAGAGAGGGAGGCUAAAGUGGCAUAUGUUUGCCAAGGCCCUGCGGGCAUGCGUGGGGUGAUGCUUUCAUGUGCCUCAAACACGCACCGAGAAAAACACAGAAACACUCACCCAAGUCUUGGUAAGUGUUGCCAUUGUCAUUUUUUGGCCAAUGCAAGACCAUGAGCGAUCAUGCAAGAGAGAGUGAGAGAGAGGAAAGGCGACAGAGUUACUGUACGAAAGGAGAAUGGAGAGAGCGAGCGAGCGAGAGAGAGAGAGAGAGAGAGAGAAUAAUGCUUGAGCCCUGGGAUUAGAAGCGUAACAGCUGGUGUAUAAAGCCAGGAUACAAAAAAACCUUCAACAAGCCCCUUAGGCUCAUCAUUCACUCAUGCAACAGUAAAACACACACACACACACACACACACACACACACACACACAGCAACACAUACAACACACUUAUACUGUAUGAAUAUAAUAUGAUCAAGGCCUUACUUACAUAGUAGCUGAGUUGCUUGGGUGACCCCUUACACACACACACACACACACACACACACACACACCUUUCAUUUAAAAAAAACAAAACAUUUUAAAUAGAUUUUGUUAAAAAAAAAAAAAAGAGUAAAAAACAAGGUCUAAACUAAUAUUACUAUCGUUGUGGGACAUUUUGUCCCCAACAAAAUCUAAAAACAUGACACACACACGCACAUACACACAUACACACAUACACACACAUACAAAUGAAAGGAAGGAACCUAGGCAGGAUGGUACAUGUGUUUGUGCUGAUUGUGACUUUCUCUUCUUGAGCGAAUACAAUGCAACGUUCACGCAUUGUAUCAUUUCGGCUCCUGCGACUGCCGGGAAUCACGACCGUGUCUCUGAGGUCUCACCGCUCCCUGUUCUACUGUUUUUAAUUAGGGAUAAACGAUACAAGUUCAAACUGUUUCCAAGACCCUGGGCACCGAAGCACACACUUCUCUCGCUCCUGGUCGGUUCGGGUUUCUCGGACUCGGUGGUGCCGGAAGUAGCGGCAGCUGUCUGACGUUCUCCGAGUUAUUAAAGUAAUCUUCCGUGAUUAAGAAUGCUAAUUUCCGAAUCGUUUGGGGGAGUCGACAUAUUUUGUCUUAUUACGCAAAUGAAUUACACAGAAAAUAAAACGGGGUUGAUUAAAUCGUUUCCGAGCGCACAAUCGGAUUAUCUUUGCAAAGGGAAAUCAAAUAUGAUGGCAGACAAAAUUGCCUUUUAAAAAAAAAAAAAAAAAAAAAAGAAGGUGGAAUGGUACAGGGGUAGCCCAAGCUUAAUUUAACAGCCUUUCCUUGACGCAUAAUAUCAGGGGGAAUAGAAGUACCUAUAGCCUUCAACGUUAAUCCUAAUUGCACAUCUGGGAUUUGAACUAGUGACCUGUGGGGUCCUGAAGGGGGCCUACACUGAGCUGCUGCCUCCCUCUAUCAGUCUCACCUCCCUCAAUUAAACUUACAGUAGACUUUUCGACCUUAUCUCCCCAGAGUGUAUCACACAUACACACCUCUAAUGUUCCUCGCCGAAAUGAAUAACACAUGUUCUACAACUCGGGUCAUCAGCGCUUAUUCAGCUGAACAGUCAGAGAUCGCCCGAAACGCAGCGCUCUCCUCAGAUAUUUAAUAUGGUCUCUGACGGCGAGGUGAUUUGUCAUGCCCUCACACAAUGUCCAAUCCGUUCCACCUGCCACCGCAUUGUCUGUUGUUCUCUUUGACCUUUCGUUUGGCCGUGCAUUAGCCUGCUCGAGCUCAUAAACAAGAAGAAUGCCUUACUGUAAUAAAAUUGGUUGAAAAGUGCUCAAGAACAAUGCGACUUCUGUUUUGUCAAGAACGUUCCUGCUUAAGGCAGUCAUUGUAUGUGUGCUGAAUAUUUGCGGUUUGCUUUUUUUUUUUUUCUUUUCUUUUUAAACUUUGAUUGGCCAAGGGAUUCCGUUGUGGGGUUGAUACAUCCCACAAAUCCCCGAGUGCGUUUUCACGGUGUUUUCCAACGAACUGCAUGAUGUGUAACGGUUCAUGAUUAGUUACGGUGUACGAUCAAACGAAUCGAUAUUUCAAAAUGUUGAUUCAGUCGCAUUUUUUUUUUUUUUUUUUUUUACCCAAUCAGGUUCCUAACUCCGGUGGUUCUCAUCACUUUUGUGUCCCUUUGGAGACAUCAUAAUGCAGCUACCCAUGAUUCUCCUCACAGGGGACGUGACUGCACUGUAGGGACGUGCGAUAUGGACGUAAAACUAUAUCAGGAUAUUUUCUGGUAUUUAUUGCGGAUAACGAUAUCGGUGACGAUAUAAAUAUCGCAUCGUUCACCACUGUUUUUGGCUACAAGUGAAAGCUGCAUGCAGUCUUAGGAGUCUCAGAAACACCAACAUUGAUCUAAAAGUUAAAGUGAUUUUCUGUAACUAAACCAGGUCCAGAUUGUAGCGGUAGAUCCUCGUUUAGCGAUAAACUCCUCCUCGGCUUCACGUCCACCUUCCGCCGUACUCCUGUUCGCUCUGCACGUGAGCUGCGAAUGGGUCUUGCACACGAAUACGUCAUCGACUGGGCUUUAUCGUUAUUAUCGCCGGAAGACUUAUUAUUAGAUUGGGGAGAAUUUCUACCGCUAUAAGACACUUUAUUUUGUUGUUGUUGUUGUUGUUGUUGUUUUACCCAUCUGUAUAUGCUCAACAAGUUCAGGUUUCUCAUUUUGAUCUGAAAGGGUUUUUAAAAGCACAUGUUCUAUUGCACUAUGGUGAAAUGUACUGUGCACUACAAACUACUUUUUCGAAUUUUCUUUGUAUGUACAAAAUCUAUUCUAACCUAUCCAAUCUGUAUUUGUGAAUGAUUAUUCGGAACGGUCAGCUGUUUUACAGUAAUUCCUCGAUAGGGAGAAAUAUAUGUGCUAUUAUGUGCAUAUCAUUGUGUGUUGUUAUGUAUAUGUGUUUCUGUGUGUGUGUGUGUGAGACAGAGAGAGAGAUACAAUUUACAAUUUAUUUCUCUAGCAGAGUUGCUCAGUUGCCAUGGUGUUUAUUUGACUUCCGACAAACACUUGUCAUCCAUGUCCGACGCUGAGUUUCAGGGAUUAUUUUAUAAUCUCGACUGCCAUAGUUUUUACUAUAUAUCCCUUCUCUUUAUCUAGCAGGCUGCAGUGCUCUUAUCUGCCUCUAGAGGGUGCAUAGACAAGCCAUUGUUUACUUCAAUGCAGAUGUGUGUGGUUUGGACUAAACGAAGCUGCUGACUCAUAAAAGCGAUGUUCUGGUAACAAACAAUCUAGGUUGCGUUAAAAACAGAGGAAGAGCUGGUGUCAAACACAAGCCAAUUAUUUCUCCUAGCAAAUCAGUUCAUCACAGAAGCAUGACUAGGCAGAAUUCUCCGACUGUCAAGCAAGCCAUUCUGCAGCGUUCAUCGCAACACCAGCCAAUCAGUUUCACGCCGUUCAAUUCCACAGCGAAGCCGCGCCGCAUCCAAGCAUCCUUUCGCGACUCAAAAGGGCUGGAAUUGAGAUGAAAUCAAAAGAGCAGAGAGGUCCCAAAUUGAGAAAUCCGUGCAUGUCCCUGAUCCGGACAGGGGUUGAGGUUUUUUUUUUUUUUUCCACGCAUCUGCGUACGUGGGAAUGUUCGUCAGAUAGAGAGGUU